rnacentral:rRNA from 2 species
GAGACCUCAGGUCAGGCGGGACUACCCGCUGAAUUUAAGCAUAUCAAUAAGCGGAGGAAAAGAAACUAACAAGGAUU